rnacentral:rRNA from 1 species
AGUGAACGCUGGCGGUAGGCCUAACACAUGCAAGUCGAACGGCAGCACAGUAAGAGCUUGCUCUUACGGGUGGCGAGUGGCGGACGGGUGAGGAAUACAUCGGAAUCUACUUUUUCGUGGGGGAUAACGUAGGGAAACUUACGCUAAUACCGCAUACGACCUACGGGUGAAAGCAGGGGAUCUUCGGACCUUGCGCGAUUGAAUGAGCCGAUGUCGGAUUAGCUAGUUGGCGGGGUAAAGGCCCACCAAGGCGACGAUCCGUAGCUGGUCUGAGAGGAUGAUCAGCCACACUGGAACUGAGACACGGUCCAGACUCCUACGGGAGGCAGCAGUGGGGAACAUUGGACAAUGGGCGCAAGCCUGAUCCAGCCAUACCGCGUGGGUGGAGAAGGCCUUCGGGUUGUAAAGCCCUUUUGUUGGGAAAGAAAAGCAGCAGGUUAAUACCCCGCUGUUCUGACGGUACCCAAAGAAUAAGCACCGGCUAACUUCGUG